rnacentral:rRNA from 1 species
UCUUAUGAAUUAGCGGCGGACGGGUGAGUAACACGUGGGUAACCUGCCCAUAAGACUGGGAUAACUCCGGGAAACCGGGGCUAAUACCGGAUAACAUUUUGAACCGCAUGGUUCGAAAUUGAAAGGCGGCUUCGGCUGUCACUUAUGGAUGGACCCGCGUCGCAUUAGCUAGUUGGUGAGGUAACGGCUCACCAAGGCAACGAUGCGUAGCCGACCUGAGAGGGUGAUCGGCCACACUGGGACUGAGACACGGCCCAGACUCCUACGGGAGGCAGCAGUGGUCA